rnacentral:rRNA from 1 species
AUGCAAGUCGAACGUGAAAGCCACCUUCGGGUGGUGAGUAAAGUGGCGCACGGGUGAGUAACACGUGGGUAAUCUACCCUCGGGAUCGGGAUAACCAACCGAAAGGUUGGCUAAUACCGAAUAAAGUCGUUCCACACAAGUGGUCCGAACAAAGGUGGCCCUGCUACCACCUGAGGAUGAGUCCGCGCACCAUUAGCUAGUUGGUAGGGUAACGGCCUACCAAGGCUGCGAUGGUUAGCUGGUCUGAGAGGACGGCCAGUCACACUGGAACUGAGACACGGUCCAGACUCCUACGGGAGGCAGCAGUGGGGAAUAUUGCGCAAUGGGGGAAACCCUGACGCAGCGACGCCGCGUGAGCGAUGAAGGCCCUCGGGUCGUAAAGCUCUGUCAGGUGGGAAGAAACUUUCGGUGGUAAAUAAUCACCGGGACUGACGGUACCACCAGAGGAAGCACCGGCUAACUCCGUGCCAGCAGCCGCGGUAACACGGAGGGUGCAAGCGUUGUUCGGAAUUACUGGGCGUAAAGGGCGUGUAGGUGGCUUGGUAAGUCUGAAGUGAAAUCCGUCGGCUCAACCGACGAACUGCUUCAGAUACUGCCUCGCUUGAGUACGGGAGAGGAAAGCGGAAUUCCCAGUGUAGAGGUGAAAUUCGUAGAUAUUGGGAAGAACACCGGUGGCGAAGGCGGCUUUCUGGACCGAUACUGACGCUGAGACGCGAAAGCGUGGGGAGCAAACAGGAUUAGAUACCCUGGUAGUCCACGCCGUAAACGGUGAGUACU